rnacentral:lncRNA from 1 species
CACAUAAUUAGUGCUUUAUUUAAUGUUAUUUUAUUUACUAAUUCAAUUGAAUAAUACAACAAGAAAUAUAGCAAAAUUAAAAAAACUGGAAAUUAACAAGGAAUAUAGCAAAAUUAAAAAACUGCAAAAUUAAAAAACUGGAGUCCGGUGGUCUCUCUCCGGUGGCCUCUCCGGCGGUCUCACAAAACAGACGAACACACACCCAUAGCAAUACCUACAUUUCCCAGAUCUAGCAAAAUCUCUUCUCCCUCUUCCAUAAAUCAAAAUCAAAAAUCAACUCUAAUAGACGAAAUCAUAAUUCAAUAAUCCUAACUUCAAAAUCAAAAUCACAAAAUUGAGUCCGGCGCAUGGGCAGAGAACCACCAUGGCUAGAGAUCUGUCCGCCGCCACCACCAGCGCCCUCUUCCUUCCCUAUUCUCUCCCUGACUCCGGCGACAACCGCACCACCCUCUGUAAAUAUGCAACCCCACUUCGGCGACAACCGCACCACCCUAAAUACCUGCAAAUCCCUAAAUUAUUUGAGCAGAUCUGCCCGUGGUGGAAGGCGGCGUAGGAGGAGGCGCGAAGCGGCGGUGGCGUUGGAGUCGGUGAAGACGGAAGCGCGAGGCGGCGCGAGUUGCGUUGGCGGCGGAGACGCGAGGCAGAGCAGGAGGUGUUGGAGGCGGUGGAAGGUGGAGGGGUGAGAGGAACGGUGGCUCUGUUUGUUCGGCCGAAGAAAAUGGUUGUAGAGGCGGUGAAGGUGGAGAGGUGGGAAGCGGUGGAAGAGGAUGGCGGUGGAGGCGGCGGAGGUGCGAGGCAGUAGAAGGCGGUGAGAUGGGGGGAGAUAGAGAGAGGUAGGUGGGGGUUGAGACGAGAGAGAGAGAGAGAGAGAGAGAGAGAGAGAGAGAGAGAGAGA